rnacentral:pre_miRNA from 10 species
CGCUUAUGAGUCGUGUUUACUGUGGACCUUGCUGUGUGACGUCACAAUAAGGCACGCGGUGAAUGCCAAUCAAAAGUCG